UACGUAGGGUGCGAGCGUUGUCCGGAAUUAUUGGGCGUAAAGAGCUUGUAGGCGGUUUGUCGCGUCUGCUGUGAAAAUCCGGGGCUCAACCCCGGACUUGCAGUGGGUACGGGCAGACUGGAGUGUGGUAGGGGAGACUGGAAUUCCUGGUGUAGCGGUGGAAUGCGCAGAUAUCAGGAAGAACACCGAUGGCGAAGGCAGUUCUCUGGGCCGUAACUGACGCUGAGGAGCGAAAGCGUGGGGAGCGAACAGG
rnacentral:rRNA from 1 species